rnacentral:lncRNA from 1 species
GGGACGAACUUAACUGUAUGUGUUGAAAAGGUUCAAGUUUGGGGUUGUAUGGGGGAAAUUGAAGGGCAAGUGAAAAGCAUUGAGCUCAAAUGUUGUGAAAAGAAAAAUUCAUGAGAAAAAGAAAAGAAAAAAAGAAAAGCAUGAAGAUGAGCUCAAUGAAAAAGAAAAGGGGAAAAAGUUGGGAAUGAGUGAGAUUGGUGAGGAAGAGAGUUGUGCUUAAAUUUAGAAUAUCAUGGUAGCUCUUUUAACUCAAGGAAUUCCAGAAAAACCAAUUUUUCUUGUUAGCCCAACCUCAUUACAAGCCUUGAAAAAGUCCUUUUGAUGACAUUUGCAUGUAAAGAUGUUGAUUGUUUGAGAUGAAUGGCAAUUUUGUUUCAUGUGACUUGUGAACAAUAGAGAGUGGAGUGUUACCUUAAACACUUGAGUGAUUGAGUGAAACACUUGCUUGAUUUGAAU